rnacentral:rRNA from 1 species
GAUGAACGCUGGCGGCGUGCCUAAUACAUGCAAGUCGAACGCUGAAGGAAGGAGCUUGCUCUUUCCGGAUGAGUUGCGCACGGGUGAGUAACGCGUAGGUAACCUGCCUGGUAGCGGGGGAUAACUAUUGGAAACGAUAGCUAAUACCGCAUAACAGUAGAUGUUGCAUGAUAUCUACUUAAAAGGUGCAAUUGCACCACUACCAGCUGGACCUGCGUUGUAUUAGCUAGUUGGUGAGGUAACGGCUCACCAAGGCGACGAUACAUAGCCGACCUGAGAGGGGGAGCGGCCACACUGGGACGGAGACACGGCCCAGACUCCUUCGGGAGGCAGCAGGAGGGAAACGUCGGCAAGGGGCGGAAGUCUGACCGAGCAACGCCGCGGGAGGGAAGAAGGGUGUCGGAUCGGAAAGCUCGGUUGUAAGGGAAGAACGAGUGUGAGAGUGGAAAGUUCACACUGUGACGGUAGCUUAUCAGAAAGGGACGGCUAACUACGUG